AGAAAUCACUCGAGUGCAAGGUCUUCCCCUCAGGCACAGUGAAUGAGAAAGGGUGAGGCUGACACAGACAGAUCCCUUCUCUGGCAGCAGCAAGUGACAGUCUGGUCAACACCCGCCUCGGCACUUUAAUCGAUAUGGAUGUUUCAUGCAUAUGGAUAUGGAUUGUCCAUCCCUGAAGUGAGGAAGUACUCAAACUGGUGGGUCUGGAAACAUCCAUAUGGCAAAGAUGACAGAUUUCCUUCUCCGAAGGGGUUGCCAGAAGGAGAGAAAGAAAGGUGUCCAAGACACAUACUGGGCCAGCCGCGUGUGUGGUGCCCAUGACAUGUAGCAGGCCCCUCAGCCUGAGAGGUAGGCCACUGGAUGAACUGAUCAGCAAUCUAUCCUGGCACUGGGAAGGAAGCCAUGUGCACAAAAGAAGCAGUUUACUUUGGCUGGCCUGCUUGGGUACUUUCAGCAUUUUCCAUUUGUAUUUUAGAUUUCCAGCAUUUACAUUUUAAAAAAUUUAAUA